rnacentral:rRNA from 1 species
GACGAACGCUGGCGGCGUGCUUAACACAUGCGAGUCGAACGGAAAGGCCCUGCUUUUGUGGUGUGCUCGAGUGGCGAACGGGUGAGUAACACGUGAGUAACCUGCCCUUGACUUUGGGAUAACUUCAGGAAACUGGGGCUAAUACCGGAUAGGAGCUCCUGCUGCAUGGUGGGGGUUGGAAAGUUUCGGCGGUUGGGGAUGGACUCGCGGCUUAUCAGCUUGUUGGUGGGGUAGUGGCUUACCAAGGCUUUGACGGGUAGCCGGCCUGAGAGGGUGACCGGGCACAUUGGGACUGAGAUACGGCGCAGACUCCUACGGGAGGCAGCAGUGGGGAAUAUUGCACAAUGGGCGGAAGCCUGAUGCAGCAACGCCGCGUGCGGGAUGACGGCCUUUGGGUUGUAAACCGCUUUCGCCUGUGACGAAGCGUGAGUGACGGUAAUGGGUAAAGAAGCACCGGCUAACUACGUG